UGCCGAGCGUUAGGCGGAAUCACUGGGCUUAAAGCGUGUGUAGGCGGGCCGUUAAGUACCUUGUGAAAUCCCCCGGCUCAACCGGGGAACGGCUGGGUAUACUGGCGGCCUUGAGCGGCCUAGGGGCAGAUGGAACAGACGGUGGAGCGGUGAAAUGUGUUGAGAUCGGAAGGAACGCCGGUGGCGAAAGCGGGCUGCUGGACCCCCCCUGACGCUGAGGCGCGAAAGCUAGGGGAGCAAACGGG
rnacentral:rRNA from 1 species